AUAUGUAUAGGUACGAGGUAGAGCAUCAUGCUAAAAACGUGAAGGUUGUGAGUUCGAGUCUCACCGUGACCA